GACGAACCGUGCGAACGUUGUUCGGAAUCACUGGGCUUAAAGGGCGCGUAGGCGGGCUGACAAGUCUGGGGUGAAAUGCCGCGGCUCAACCGUGGAACUGCCUCAGAUACUGUCGGCCUCGAGGAAGGUAGGGGCAUGCGGAACUGUAGGUGGAGCGGUGAAAUGCGUUGAUAUCUAACAGGAACUCCGGUGGCGGAAAGCG
rnacentral:rRNA from 1 species